UGAAAAUAAAUGUUUUUUUUUUAUAUACGACAGGUUUCAUUUCAACAAAUAAUCGAAUAAAACGAUGAGUACAGUGACUUGAACCUAUAUCAGGACCCUCAUCACUCAUUUACAUUGUUUUUACGCACCAUAUAGUUUUACAAUACACAAUUACUAAUUGUAUUUGUUUUAUAACUUUGGCUUAAUUUGGAUUUUGUUUUCGAACUGAACUGAGAAAACAUUAUUUGUAAAUAUGAACUGUUGUUGAAGUAACAGUGGCACCGCUUAGGUUAUUGACAACAUAGAAAAAUAAGGACUUGUAAACACGAAUCAAAUCAAAACCUGGGAGUGAUGACAUAUAUCGUGUUAGUUACCAACAAAAAUCAAACAUCAUGUUAUUUUCUUUUUCAUUCCAGGUCAUCAACACAAGAUUAUCUUUUCAACUAAUGGGAAAAUUAAGGAAACAGACUUAAUAACUGGAAAAGUAGCAGAUUUGUUGACGAAUCUACAAAGUGUCAUCCAUUCUAUAGAUUAUGACUAUAAAUAUGAAUAUGUUUAUUUUACAAGAUUUGAGCAAAAUGACAUAUUGAGAUUUCGGUAUCCUUCAGAACAACCAUACAUUUCAGAAACUGUCACAAUGGCAGAUAAACCUGUUGGUGUUGCCGUUGAUCCACUAUCCAGCCACGUGUAUCUGACUGAAUAUGGCACAGGAAAGCUUUACAGGUGUAAUUUAGAUGGGUCAAAUAAAAUAAAUAUACUCAAGGAUGAUCCGCUGUAUGCUCUCACAUUAGAUUAUUCGCACAGAUUGAUGUACUACAGUACAUAUUUAACUGGCGACGGAAAAAUUAAAAGAGCGAGACUAAAUGGAACAGAGAAACAGACAAUCAUCCAUAGUUCACACAGAAUAUAUGGGAUGAGCAUAGAUGCCACUGAAAAUCAACUUUAUUGGAUGGAAUAUACCAGUGGCGAUUUAAAAUCUUCAAAUACCAAUGGAGAUAAUGAAAUCAAAGUUGUCAGCACAAAUGCAGCCUCUACAAACAUAGGCAUUCAUGUAUACGGAAGCAACGUAUACUGUGCAACUGGUACGACAAUACUCAAUGUCACAAUAACAACUACAACGAUAAAGAAUGUUAUAUACUCAGAUCCAGAGAGAAUUUUUAGUGUGAUUUUCUAUACUGAAAAAUGUAAGUAUAUGAAGGAAAACGUAUUCACAAGAAAACAUAAUUGUGCGAUUGAUAUUCAAUUGUAUUCGUAGUUAAAGAAAUAUUCCAAAAAGUAAAUUAACGGAAAUACCGAACUCCAAGGAAAAUUCAAAACUGAAAGUCCUUAUUGAAAAUAAAGGCUCACACACAUCAAACGAAUGGCAACAACUGGAAAAUCCCUGCCCUAAUCCUGACUUGGUACAAGCAUUAACAUACGUAGAUAAUUGUAGAUAAUAUCUCGUUUUUAAGAUAGCUAAAUCUUUCACACAUAUGACAGUGGCAUAGAAUCCCAUUAUAUUGACAACAAUGUGUGACUAAAACAGACAUUAGUUAAAAUUGUCCAAAAUUGUAGUAAUAAGUGUAUAACAUGAAUGAGCUUAGAAUUAUCAAAGGAGCUUUUAAAUUGAUAAUUACUGGUUUGAAUAAAAUAUUCAAUACAAUAUAUCAAAUGAAAAAGGUGGUCUAUUUGUUGUUUAACAAGUAUAUUAUUGAAAAAUAUGUUAUUAUUGAUUAUCAUAGUGUCAGAUUUUAAUAAUUGUUUUUACUAAUAUAUUCAUUCAUCAGUGUAUUUAAAUUUGUAUAUGUUUGCGUUUGUAUUCGUCUUGUCAACAAUUGAUAGUUGUUAACUGGCAACUUCUUUAACGCAUUCUAUUACUAAAUUCACAAUUUGUUAAUCUCUGAUAUGAAUGCUUGAACAUAAUGCACUUAACUGAUAUAUAACUUAAUGCUUUUAAUAUUUAUUUUGUUCAACGAGUAUAAGUUGUUAAUGUAUUACAUGUACCUAUUGAAAGAUGAUAACCCAGCUGAACGCUUUAGAAUUGUAUGUUGAUUUGAGUCAGUGCAUACUUAGCUGGUAUGCACAACGUUUGUCUUCAGAUUUCCUAUAGAUACAAUGUAUAACAACUACAUCAAUAUUGCUGUGUGUAGCAGUUCAUAAAAAAUGUUAAUUUCCACAAAAUCGUUACUCUUUUGGACUGUUGUUUUUUUUUAGAUUUUAAAUUAUAAAUGAAUACAGAUAAGUAUAGAUAUAUGCAUAUAAAUUAAAUUUGUUUUCGUUUUCUGUUUAAUAAUCAAGGUCUCAUUUCCUUUACAUUAGAAAUCUGUUAAUAAUGCUAAAAAAAUAAAAAGACAAUCAUGCUUCUUUAACUUUGCAUUUAUUUUGUUAGAGAAAACGAGUGUAGUAUUAAGAAUGUCUUUUAUAGAAUGUAAGUAUUAUUAUAUAUUACUGUGACAAACAAUGGCAUCCAAGAAUUGACCGUAAAAUGAAAUUAAGCACUGCUCUUAUUGCAGCAUACGAAUCAAACAUAAGCAACAUUAUCAUUUAAUUGUGCACUUCACUCUUUCAACUCUGUCAACCAGAUCACAUCGGUAUAUUUGUGUUUCGAAAAUAUAUCCUUUCACUAUUAUUUAAAUGGUUCAUAUUAUACAAAAAAUGACUUAUUGUUCAUACCGUCAAAUUCUUUUUUUGUGUAUUAAAUCUUUGUGAGCUGUUUUGAAAUGUGUUGUUGAAGCUAGAGUACCGAAGAAAACAGUUAACGUUCGCAACAUAACUGAUAGUCCUUGAAAAAGAAAGGCAAAAGAUACCAAAGGCACAUUCAAACGCAUAAGUCGAACAUAAACUGACAACGCCAUUGCUAAAAGAAAAAAGAACCACAUACAAAUAACAUUCAACAAAAAACUACAAAGAAAACUAAAUACUGCAAAACACGAACCCCGCUAAAACUGGGAAUGAUCUCAGGUGCUCCUGAAAGGUAAGCAUACCUUACUCCAUAUGCGCCACCCGUCGUUAUUAAAAUGAGAUCAGAAUCGAACACACGUAGGAAUAAGUUGGGUAUCAACUUACAACUUAAGGGUCACAAAUGAUUACUUUAAGUGUGAUACUUAGUCGAUGCUUUCUCCUUCAUUUCACCGAGCCCUUGAGUAUACCUUACAUACGUUGAAGAUACUCUUGCCAAACACGAAAAACAAAAGGAACACCAUACCAUGAUUGGACUAUUAUGAAAAUAUAUUAGGCAUGUUGUAAAUAAACUCAUCAGUGAUUUUUUUUUAUAUUGAACAGGCGAUGACCGUUACUCAAUAUCAAGGUGUUUAUGACGAUUUACAUUGGUUCAAUGAGUCCCCCCUUGAAUCUACAGUGUACAAUGUAAGUAAUGUGAGUGUCCAUUGGAGCUGGACAUUGCAUAUAUAACAAAUCAGAAACGAUGCUAGUGGUUGCUACAUGAUAGGUUUUUUUAAAAGAAGACUGCUAACGCCAUAAUGCUUUAUAAACUACAAAGUAGUGUACUGAAAGGAACGUACUAGUAUGGCGGUAGUCAUCAUUUAAUUGUAACCUCAUUUAAGACAAAUUUUGUAUUAAUUAUGUAAACAAAAAUCCUACA